UGUAAACUUCUUUUAUAAAGGAAUAAAGUCGGGUAUGCAUACCCGUUUGCAUGUACUUUAUGAAUAAGGAUCGGCUAACUCCGUGCCAGCAGCCGCGGUAAUACGGAGGAUCCGAGCGUUAUCCGGAUUUAUUGGGUGUAAAGGGAGCGUAGAUGGAUGUUUAAGUCAGUUGUGAAAGUUUGCGGCUCAACCGUAAAAUUGCAGUUGAUACUGGAUAUCUUGAGUGCAGUUGAGGCAGGCGGAAUUCGUGGUGUAGCGGUGAAAUGCUUAGAUAUCACGAAGAACUCCGAUUGCGAAGGCAGCCUGCU
rnacentral:rRNA from 1 species